GAAAUGCGAUAAGUAGUGUGAAUUGCAGAAUUCAGUGAAUCAUCGAAUCUUUGAACGCACAUUGCGCCCUUUGGUAUUCCUUAGGGCAUGCCUGUUCGAGCGUCAUCUAAACCUUCAAGCCCUGCUUGGUGUUGGGUGCCUGUCCCGCCUCCGCGCGCGGACACACCUCAAAUCCAUUGGCGGCCCCCGCGUCGGCCACGAGCGCAGCAGAAACGCGAACUCGUGAGCCCGUCCGGGCGGCUCCCAGAAGCUACACCCACCCAGUUUGACCUCGGAUCAGGUAGGGAUACCCGCUGAACUUAAGC
rnacentral:misc_RNA from 1 species